AUUGAACGCUGGCGGAAUGCUUUACACAUGCAAGUCGAACGGCAGCACGGGGCGAACCCUCGGUGGCGAGUGGCGAACGGGUAGGAGUAAUACAUCGGAACGGUGCCCACGUCGUGGGGGAGUAACGCAGCGAAAGCUGUGCUAAUACCGCAUACGAUCUACGGAUGAAAGCGGGGGAUCGCAAGACCUCGCGCGAUUGGAGCGGCCGAUGGCAGAUUAGGUAGGGGUUGGGGUAAAGGCUCACCAAGCCGACGAUCUGUAGCUGGUCUGAGAGGACGACCAGCCACACUGGGACUGAGA
rnacentral:rRNA from 1 species